rnacentral:lncRNA from 1 species
UUGAUCUUUCACACAACAACUUCUGUUUGCGUGCUGUUGCUCCGUGAUCACCUACCCGUUUUUUCCCACUAGCUGAACCAGAAGCUGAGCUGCCUACACCACUUGUUAUCCCAAUCUCACUUUCACCAUUGACAGCCUCAUUGUCUUGCUCAUUCUGGGACUCCAAAUCAUCAUUAUCUUGCUCGCCAUUUGUUACUUCAUUAAUGGCAUCCUCAACUUCCCAGACUUGAACACUCCAAUCCGUCUCCUGUAAAAUCAUGCUCUUCAAGAAAUCUAUUCUACCAUCAUUCAUCUCAUCAAGCCGCAAGAAAUAUGACGAGUUGACUACAUCAAAAUUUCCG